UACGGAGGAUGCAAGCGUUAUCCGGAUUUAUUGGGUUUAAAGGGUACGUAGGCGGAAGAUUAAGUCAGUGGUGAAAUCCCGCAGCUUAACUGUGGAACUGUCAUUGAUACUGGUUUUCUUGAAUUUAGUUGAGGUAGGCGGAAUGUGUAAUGUAGCGGUGAAAUGCUUAGAUAUUACACAGAACACCGAUUGCGAAGGCAGCUUACUAAGCUAUGAUUGACGCUGAGGUACGAAAGCGUGGGGAGCGAACAGG
rnacentral:rRNA from 1 species